GGGGGUGAGGCUGUUGCUCAGUGGAAGAGCCUUUGCUUGGCAUGCAGAAAGGUCCUGGUUCAAUCCCUACCACCUCCA
rnacentral:tRNA from 1 species